GCGGUAGUAGUCUAGCCUGGUCUAGGACACCGGCCUCCCAAGCCGGUAACCCGGGUUCGAAUCCCGGCUACCGCACCA
rnacentral:tRNA from 1 species